CCCUUAGAUGUUCUGGGCUGCACGCGCGCUACACUGAUGCACUCAACGAGUUUACGACCUUGCCCGAUAGGGUUGGGUAAUCUUUUUAAAAUGCAUCGUGAUGGGGAUAGAUUAUUGCAAUUAUUAAUCUUCAACGAGGAAUUCCUAGUAAGCGCGAGUCAUCAGCUCGUGCUGAUUACGUCCCUGCCCUUUGUACACGCCGCCCGUCGCUCCUACCGAUUGAGUGCUCAGGUGAAUAAUUCGGACUGCAGCAAUGUUUGGAUCCCGAACGUUGCAGCGGAAAGUUUAGUGAACCUUAUCACUUAGAGGAAGGAGAAGUCGUAACA
rnacentral:rRNA from 1 species